GGCAAAACAGGUUCCAAACUUAAAACAGUAUAAAGAAGAUUUAUAAUUGACAGAAUUAAAAGGAUAAUAAGAACUAAAGCAAACUUUCAGAACACCUUUCUUCCCCAGUCCCUUCCUCUUUCCACCACCUGCAUAAGGAAAACAAACAUGGGGUUUUGAUCAGUAUUUCAUUUCUUAAGAGUCUUUUUUUAUGUUUAAGGAAAAGUUUCUUCUGCUGUGCUGUAGGAUCCUUCCCACAGGAGCUAGUUCUCAGUGAACUUUUCUAGCGUGGUUUCAACCUUCACAAGCAACAGCCUCCCUGAACCUGCUGCAAUGUGAAAAUCCCUCUCAUGGGUCAUGCAGUCUUCCGACAACUGCCUAGCGUGGGUCAUAGUAGUUCAUGGGGUUUAGUCUUUUAAGGAUAAGCUGUUCCAGUUUGGAAGCAAAGGCUCUCUUCUUCUAUCUCUAAAAGUAAGGAUCAUCUCUCUCUGUUCAAGUUCUUUAUUAGAUCACAGCCUCUCAGCAUCUACGCGCUCCAGCAUGAGCACUCCUCAUGGGCUGCGCGUGGAUCUCUGCACCCCUUCCCGUGCACUUCAUGAAUUAUAGGGAAGCUGCUGUAUUACAGUCCUCACCAGCGCUUGCAGGAGAAUCUCAGCUCUGGUGCCUGAAGCGCCUCCUCUCUCUCCCUUCCCCACCGACUUCAGUGUUGCCAUGUUGGCCUUCCUCACGUGACCUCACUUUCCCUUUUUCUCUGACUUGGAAGAAAAUUGGUGUCUGUAAGUUGCAGUUGAGAAGCGGAUCUUGUCCGGGCUCUGCAUUGGGGAAAUACUCGCCAUGUCUCUCGCUGCUGGCUGCGUGGUGUUUCUGCCUGGUUCCACACGGGCCGCGCCGGCCUCAGGAGGGGGCGCUGGGAUGGUCCCUCCCAGUGGCACAGUCCCGGCCGCUGCGCCGGGAGGUCCCAGCAGCCCUUUUCCAGGAAGGGGCCUGCCCCCCGCCACCCCUUGCAGGGAAGCAAGAAAAAGAACUUUUCCCAGUUUCUUCUUUCUUAAAUAUGUCAUCACAGAGGCGUUACCAGUUUGUCUGAUUGGUCUAGUAACCUGCCCAUUGUCAGAGCUUUCAGCAAUUGGCUCUGCGCCGGACACAGAAGUUUUGAGUUCUCCUGCCCCCACAAACCAAGUUUUGUUAAACCAGCACACGAAUGAAACUGAAAUCAGGGCGGUAGUGGCCAGUCUUUACUCUUCUAAGACUGGACUUCAUUUAAUGCAGGCUGUAGAAAGCAAUCUGUAUUGACUCCCAAGCUACUAUGAGCACGGAAGUGCUGUAUUUGGUAUGCCCUCUUGAGUCAAAUACUAGUUGAAUUGAAAAGUGUGGUAACAUGACUACCUGUACUUUUGCUGGUUUAUUCAAAAAAAUAAAAACUAGUAGUCUAGUGUUUCUGUGCUGCUUCUAUAGUCCAAACAGUUCUUUAUCCAAAGCUAUUGUGGCUCUACAUUUUCCUUAGUAUAUAUUUAAAGACUUUAUUUCAAUGUAGCUGAUGAAAUUUAUUUGUGAAGGAUUUGUUGGUGAUUAUUUGUUUCACAACUUCUAUGGGCUUUUUUCAGUAAGACGACAGAGUGAAUAGCAACACCCAGGAAGAAAACUAUGUCCUUUUGAAUUAUGGUUGUUUUUCUAUUAUUGUUAAUUUUGAAUUUCAAUAACAUAGCUAAGAAGACUUAUGUUAGUGCUGUAUCAAUAGCAUAAAGCCUGUGCUCUAACAGAUCUGCUGAGAAUAAAGAAUUACUGGGUAUGAUGGCC